UUCAAAACAAAAUAUGGUUUAUAUUAGUGGUUAGUUAUGUCUUUUAGAUUAACUAAUGCACCUAGUACAUUCAUGAGAUUAAUGAACUGUAUUUUGCAUCAUUUGUAAGUAUGUGGUUGUAUACUUUGAUGAUAUAUUAGAGUACAGGAAAAAUAUGAAAAAACGUAUGCUUCAUUUGAGGUAUGUGUUUUAAGUGCUUAGAAAAGAAAAUUUGUAUGCUAAUUUUAAAAAGUGUACUUCUUACAUAGAAAGAGUUGUGUUUUUGGGUUAUGUGAUUAGUG
rnacentral:misc_RNA from 1 species